GUGCAAAAUUCUUCUAUCAUUGAUAGAGAAGGACUAGAAUGACUGACAAAAAUCUUCACAGUAGAUGCAAGUAGGAAUCCGUCAAGUUCACACUAGAAAUUCAAGAUGACAACAGAGGGAUGUUUACAAGCUACCGAGAGGCAAUAAGAAAUGUAAGUCCGCAAAAUUGUUUCACCAAUUUUUCAUCUCCAAGCAUCGCCAUCAUCAUCAUCAUCAUCAUCAUCAUAAUCAAAGUUAUCAUCAUCCUCAUAAUCAAAAGUGUCAUCGUCACCAUAAAUUCCAUCUUCAUAUUGGACUGCAUCUUCAGACAAGCCUUGCAUCAAUUCCUCGAAUUCUGAAGAUCUACUGCUAGCAUCAUCAUUGUCUUCUUCUAUUUCAUCAGCUGAUGCUUCACUCUCCCCAUCAACUUCAUCUUCCUCUUCGGAUAUUUCAUCAGGAUAAUCAUUCCGUGGAUGAGCCUCAGCAUUUGAAUCAUCACUCUCAUAUUCUGACUCAUCAUC
rnacentral:misc_RNA from 1 species